rnacentral:misc_RNA from 1 species
AACGCACAUUGCGCCUCCCUUUGCCGGGAGGCAUGCCUGUCUGAGCGUCAUUUAACUCAUACCUUUUUGGUGUGUUGGGCCUCGCCCUAGCGGCGUAGCCUCAAAGUCAUUGGUCUAAGAGCGGACAAGAUCCAUUGGGACCGACCGUUUGGGACCGUAAACAUCUGACUUGACCUCAGAUCAGGUAGGGCUACCGCCUGAACUUAA